rnacentral:lncRNA from 1 species
UGCGACAUCCAAGGCCGCCCUCGGCAGCUCUGGGCUCUCUGGGCUCGCCCGGUCCGCCUCACUGUCCGUCACCCGGGCCCUCUGAGGGAACUCAGCCAGGCAGUGGUCAGCCACCAGGAUGCCAAGACCUCUGCACUGUCCCCGCCCAGUGAAGCACCGGCUCGUCCCACUCCCAUUUGCUCUCUGCCCUUGUCUGCUUCCAUCCUCCCAAUAUACCAGCACCGGCCUCAUCUUCAUGAAGAUGAUGAUGAUGAUGAAGAGGGACAGGAGGAGCAGGAGGAAGAGAAGGAGCAGAAGGAGCAGGAGGAGGAGGAGCAGAAGCAGGAGGAGGAGCAGGAGGAGGAGGAGCAGAAGCAGGAGGAGAAGCAGGAGGAGGAGGAGCAGGAGCAGGAGCAGGAGGAGGAGCAGGAGGAGGAGCAAGAGGAGGAGCAGGAGGAGGAGGAGCAGCAGGUAGAGGAGCAGGUGGAGGAGCAGGAGCAGGAGCAGGAGCAGGAGGAGCAGGAGGAAAGCCAGCAUUGGAAACUACAGCACAACCCGCCACCCCUUCCCAUGGCCUUCUGUGAACCGCUCCAGACCAAGCACAGAGCCCGUGGCCGGUCAACGGAUGCUCUGCACCCUCCUGGCCUCUGUCAGCACCAUCUCGGUGCCGCCGCUCAUCCUUUCCUGCCACCCUGCCCUCGCCCUUCAUCCCUGCACAGAGCUCCUGCUUCCCAGCAUCCGUUUUCUCCUAAGCACCAUCCAGCUGGAUGCAAGCCCACUCCUGCAUGUGGCUCCUACACUAGACACCCGCAAUUCUGAAGGUCAGUUAGACUUCAAAUUCAUUAAAGAUCCAGGGGACACUCGACAUUUAUCUGGUGGCACACAAAGAACACCUGAUAAAAAGUUAAUUUAGGAUGGAAUGACUAGAAGCCCUUGCCUGCGAAUGGAACGCUGAUGGAGAAACCCUGAAGUUAAGGGUGGGCAACUUUAUGAAGAAAAGAUGUUUAUCUAGCUCACAGCUCUGGAGGUUCAGGGCCCUGGCGCAGCACACCAUGGUGGGUGGCAUUGCAAGGGUGGCAGUGUGCGAGAGGUGCCGGAAGCCAGACAGGGGGCUCCCCCAGCAGGGCCCACAUCUCAGCGGUCCUCAUGGGCACGGCGAGGACCACACACCCCACCCAAGCCACGGCAGCAUCUAACUGCAGAAGACAUCAUCAGAGGCCGAGAGAGCCAGUCACCCCGCCAGGAGGCGUUCUGGCCCAGAGGGGACAGCCCCACUGCAGUGGCAGAGGCCCAGGGGGAGGCUCCUCCUGUGGACCCCGGUGCUCUAGGAGGCCUGGGAAUCCAGUUGCCCAUGUGUAGAUCUGCACAGCUGGGACCCGACCUCAAGAUGAUGAUAUCUGGGUCACUGAGUUCUUUUCCACCUCAAAGAAAAUGACGGCAGGUCUCUUAGGGCUUGGCUGGUAUAAAUCCAUCUGCACAGCAAUGACAAUGCUCUGAAGCGAUUCAUUUUGCUGCGUGUCAGGGCUUGUCUCACACUUAGUGUCUCGGGAUGGGGCAGGAUCUGUGACCACCCUGGCUCAGGGCCAGGGGACUCAGGCUCAGGGAGACUGCCGUGUGACUAAGCCAGAGGCAGAGAGGGGUUUGAACCAAGGGCCCCGACUCUGAGGCCUGCUCGUCACCUCUGGGCAUCCUAACACUGCCCUGUCUGGAGCCAGCCCCAAGUCACGUGUGCCCGAAGUCACACGGCUGCUCUGAGCUGAGCAUGGCUGGCGCCAAGGCAGCGCUGCACACCACUGCUUCUUUUGGGCACUUGUUUGCUCGUCCAGUAGCUCCCAGCCCCCGAGGGAAAGGACCCACUCCCUCAUUUCUGUCUGCGCAGCUCCUGCAGUGCCCAGCGCAGAGGGAGCCUUCACAUCUCUCAGUUCAGCGGAAUCCUUCAGGUGGGGACCCACAGGUGCCCGGCCUGUCCCAGCCUGGAGACCUCGGGUUUGCAGCUCAGCCACAGUAGCUUCAUGACAGGCUGCGGAGUGCGCAUUCUGCUCACAAAGUGUUCUUUUCUUCACAUAGCGUGGGCCUCGACAGGUGGGAUGCAAACCCAGCACGGAGCUAUGCAGUUUCUGUGGAGCACAGUUUUGCAUUUAGGAAUCUGAGUUUUCGGAAACUCAGUGCCAGGAGUGGAGGUGAGCCGAUCCCUCUGGUUGCCUCUUCUGGGUCUAGUUGUCCUGGGACAGUUUCUCAAAAGGGAAGAAAGUUACCAACCUGCCUGGUGGCUAUCAGUGGUGGGUGGGUUUGUUCCUCAGGGCAAACAUGGUACUGCCUGGAGAUACCUGUGGUUGUCAUAGGAGGGCCGUGUGCAUGCUACCUGUGUCCAGGGGGAGAGGCCAGGCCCUGCUGUACAUCCUACAACACAGCACACCCAGCAGCUUGGCCUGGCCAGCCCACACGCCACCUGCACCUGGGCUGACGAAUCCGAUCACCACGCAGCCCCACAUAUGCCUGCCCAGAGGUUUUACGGAGGAAGCUCUGCCUAACAAUUAAAUUAGGUUUCAUGAGAUUUUGUGCCCUGAGAGCAGCAGAGAUCAUCGGGGGAGGAACAAAGCCAGAGCAAGACCAUGGUAGUUCAGAAGCACAUUUGGAAACAAGGCUUUGAGGCGAAGGUCCAGGACCUCUUUCCACAAACCCAGCUGCAAAACAUUAAAAUACAGAUUCCUAGGCCUCCCACAAGCUGGCUGAAGUGGGCACCGUGUGGGAGGGUAGCGGAGUCUGCAUUUUUAGGUAACUCCCAAGUGAUCUGGAUGUAGGUUAACAUUUUCUUCCACUUCCCAGAGGUAGGGUGGAGCAGAUGGGCCACAUGCACGGUGGUUUUUAAAAAGUUAAGUUGCACAUUCUGGCACGAGUUCUCCAACUUUAGUAUCUGUACUGCAGCCCCGUGAGCUGCCCUAGGCAGCACCAAAUGCUCUGCUCAGCAGUUCACAAAACCGCUUGUGAGUUGCAGGAUCUUUCGAAGCAGCAGUACCCGUGGAGCCCUACUUUGUCCGCACUCUCUUCGGAACAUGUAACCGUGAAAGUAAACAGCAUAGCCUGCAUCGCUCAAGAGAGACAAGCAGUGCAUGUGGGAAGCGACCCUGCAGGGGGCAGCUGCAGCUGGCCAGGAGAACUCCCCAGACCAGGGCCCUGCUGCCAUGCAGACCCAGAUCUGCCUGUGGCCUGAGCCUCCCAUCCAAGCUCAGGGUUGCGUGGCAAGUGCUGCUUCCUGGAGGAGGAAGAGUGGCGGACAGGCGCCACGCACCGUUAGCUGUGAGCCUGUCUUCACGAAGUCACACAUGGCUGGGACAGGCCGGAGGCUGGCGGAUGACUGAGCCACCGUGUGCAGUGGGCCAACUCUGUGCUGGGGCCCGAAGAAGCAGUGAAGGCACAGAAAUGAGUCAGCAAGUGCACCCAAGGAGGCAGCAUGGCAUUAUUAGCCCGGGAGCCACAUUGGCACCCAUCAGCUCCAACUGAUGAGCUUUUGAAAAGAGCCAUGUUAAGUCGGGCUGAGUGGUGCACACCAGUGGUCCCAGCUACCUGGGAGGCUGAGGCAGGAGGAUAGCAAGUUCAAGCCAGCCUGAGCAACUUAGUGAGGUACUGUCUUAAAGAGGUAAACAGGGCUAGGGACGUAGCUCAGCGUGAAGGCUCUGGGUUCAAUUCUCAGUGCUGAAAAAAUAAGCAGAAAGCCAGAACCAUCUUCAAUCCCACACCAGGACAAAGUUAAGGACUGGUGCCUUUUGCAUGUCACUGGCCCGCAGAGACUGGAAUUGGGUGUGAGAAGCAGAAGUCCUGUGUAGAGACUGGUUUCCAUGCUCCUCCUCCCACUCCUGCAACUCUCUAGGUGGUGGGGCUGGUGCCCCAGAGGGACAAGCCGACACCCCAAGGGCCACAAAAGCUCAAGAGCUCAGCUAAAAAUCAGCACGAACGUGUGGUUUGUUGUUCCAUUCACGUUUCCCCCAAAAGGCCGACCUCGACCUCAUGUCAGUCUCAGCUGGGCUCUGCACCAGCCCACCUUGCUGUGCACUGGGCACCCGCAGCUGCAGCCCAGCCCAUGGGUCCUCGCAUUCACCAACACCACUUUAUCUUCACCUCUUCUCUGCCACUCGCAUCCAGCCUCCUGCGUAAUUCCCACCUCAGGUGUAGCUGCUCUCAGUUAGUUGUCUCCUACUUGAGACACUCGUGUUCCAGCCGUCAGAGGACUGCCCACGUGGGAGGUGUGAAUGUGGAACUGGGCCAGGAGGAGCUGGGGCAGCUCUUAGAUCCAGGCACCGGAAGCGCAGCAGAAACCCGAAACAGCAUUUCCCAGGCAAAGGCCCCGGGGAGCGUUUCUGAGCAAGCCUAUGAUGGACACACCUUUCUCUACAGUUGACGAGGGCUUGUGUUUUCAGAAGCUUCUCCCUGUGCAUCUGCAAAGCAUCCCUGUUUGGCUCGGAGUGGAAAGACAAUUCAGUGCCUGGCUUCAACUAUGCAAACACACUUACUGAGCACCUGCUUGGAGCUAAACAGGCUCUGGUUGAGGACCACAGGCUGCUCUCCUAGAACAGGAGUGGGGAAGAAGGUGGGUAAGGCAGUGCCUGGGAGAGGAGGUGCUCCUGAGGUACCCUGGAGCACACUGAAGGGGGCAUUGGAUGGGUCUGAGGCUGCUGCCCCACCCCAGCCCUGGCACCAGGACCUGGUAGCCUCAGGAGAGCGUCCAGCGAGC